GACGAACGCUGGCGGCGUGCCUAAUACAUGCAAGUCGAGCGCAGGAAACUGACGGAACUCUUCGGAGGGAAGGCAGUGGAAUGAGCGGCGGACGGGUGAGUAACACGUAAGGAACCUGCCUCAAGGAUUGGGAUAACUCCGAGAAAUCGGAGCUAAUACCGGAUAGUUCAACGGACCGCAUGGUCCGCUGAUGAAAGGCGCUCCGGCGUCACCUUGAGAUGGCCUUGCGGUGCAUUAGCUAGUUGGUGGGGUAACGGCCCACCAAGGCGACGAGGCAUAGCCGACCGGAGAGGGUGAUCGGCCACACUGGGACUGAGACACGGCCCAGACUCCUACGGGAGGCAGCAGUAGGGAAUCUUCCACAAUGGACGAAAGUCUGAUGGAGCAACGCCGCGUGAGUGAUGAAGGUUUUCGGAUCGUAAAACUCUGUUGUAAGGGAAGAACACGUACGAGAGGAAAUGCUCGUACCUUGACGGUACCUUACGAGAAAGCCACGGCUAACUACGUGCCAGCCGCCGCGGUAACAC
rnacentral:rRNA from 1 species